ACGCUUGUCUUCUGCUGUGAUGAUACAUUUGACUUCCAAGCCAUGGGCAGAAUUUUCUUGGGUAUCUGUCAAGUGGGUGCAUGGGGCUGUUUCGAUGAAUUCAACCGUCUGGAGGAAAGGAUACUGUCUGCGGUUUCACAGCAGAUUCAAAAUAUUCAGAUUGGACUGAAAAAUAGUAGUGAUGAGGAGAAGGCCCAAAUCGAGCUCGUCGGUCGCCAACUGCGGGUCAACUUGAACACUGGAAUUUUCAUCACGAUGAACCCUGGAUACGCUGGUCGAUCCAACCUUCCUGACAACUUGAAGAAGCUAUUCCGCAGUGUAGCUAUGUCCAAGCCCGAUAAGGAAUUAAUUGCAGAAGUCAUGCUCUUCUCCCAAGGAUUCAAACAAGCCAAGCCUUUAUCAAGACAAACUGUUCCAUUCUUUGAACACUGCGCCAAACGCCUGACGAAACAAGCACAUUACGAUUUUGGUCUACGUGCUUUGAAGAGUGUCCUUGUCAGCUCUGGUGGACUUAAACGUUUACGUCUUGCAAAUUCCGACGGCGACCUCGGGCCUAAUGAGAUUAUCGAACCCCAAAUCAUUGUCCAAAGCAUUAGGGAAACAAUCGCACCAAAACUAAUUCGAGAAGAUGUUGAGACUAUGUUGCAGAUCCAGACUGAUGAAUUCCCUGGAGUUGAGUAUGUUCCCGCGAACUUCGAGAAGCUGACGCAGGCCAUUCGCGAUAUUGCCUGGGAAAAUCAUUACGUUGCUAGUGACACAUGGAUCGCGAAGACCUUGCAACUUUACCAGAUUCAGGGCAUCCACCAUGGUGUCAUGAUGGUGGGAAGAUCCGGUGCUGGUAAAAGUGCAGCAUGGAAGACACUACUCGAGGCAAUGCAGAGAGUGGAAG
rnacentral:sRNA from 2 species